UAAUAGAUACACCCAUUCUGAUACUCUGUUGCAUCACCCUUUCCUAUUUGACCAAAGAGCACGCGCAAUUUAGGAAAGCACAAAACAACUAACCAUCAGACAAUUCAUGAGUACACAGACCUGACUGAAACUAGCUGCCUGUAGGUACUGCUGUACAAUAGCUAAAAAAGUGAUCUCUCAGUGAUGAAUGUAGCUUUUAAAUAGUGGAGAUAUUAAUUUGACUUUAUAAUCCACAUUUCUGUAAAUUCAGAGCUGGUAGAAAGGAAAGUGUGUAUGUGUGUCUGUAUUUAUUCCUUGUUCAUGGUACUUUUAGCGUGUGUAGUGAGCUUGUGUUGUGAGUAACUGAAACUUAUUGUAGUUUACUUAUUGUAGGGUAUUGUUUGUUAUUGCACUUAUCGUUGUCUCUGCUGGAGCUUAUAUCUAUUUUACACUUCUAGGCAUCAGUAUUGAUCCCUGUAUUUCUACAGUAUCAAUCCCUGCAUUUCUACAGUAUUCUAGAUCAUUGGACAACAGCCCAAGGUGGCCAUCGCUGUGUAGAAAACAACUAAAUGAAAAUGACACGUUAAACCGAUGUGAUGCCCAGCAGGUUCAUGGUACUGGGAUAAGAGCACUCCAACAGAAAGAAAUCAGAAGUAGAGGAAGGAGCGCCCUCUUGUGUUGAGAUCGAUGAAGUAUUCAACAAAGAUCAAACUAGCAAAACUGCAGGUUCUGCAAAUAGUCUUCAGAGGUGUCCUCACUAAAAUCGCUGCUUACUGAACUAAGCUGCAUAAAGAUCUGACCUCACUUUGAUACAGACACCCCUCCAUAUAAUGAUGUAAAGUUUUUGUAAAGUGUUCAGGAGUCUCAGACUAAUUUAAUUUAAUUUGUUGCCACAAAAUCUAAUUUUACAAUCAAUUCUAAUUUGAUCAAUAAAUGUGAUUUAGAUUUGAAAGCAAGACUUUGCAACUCAUAUACUGACAAAAGCAAUCAUUCUGUAUGUUUAUAAUGAACAAACAAAUCAAACACCAUCUUAAAACCCAUUAGAGACAAUUUUUAUUUCACACUUUAUUUUAAUGUGCAAGUGGUUUCACAAAUUCAUAGAGUGAAAUAUAAUUUCCAAUAAACAUUGAUUACAUUUUGGUGACAAGUGGAGUGGGGUUAGAACAAUAGGAUCAUAUCAUCGAAUACUAUCUAGUUCCUUUUACGGGUUAGGAAGGGCCAAUAGCUCUAUUAACUGAUGUAGACAUUGAACAUUUAACAGUCCAUGUCUCCCCCAAAGAUCUGUCCAGCUCUGUCUUAAUAAGAUAACUCAUUGGGGCCAAAUACACAUAGAAUAUUUCUAUUUAAAAUGUAUAAAUAUUUUGUGUUUGAGAAUAAGAUCCCUAUACUACUUCUUUUUUGGUUCUCUGAAGUUACAGUAGAAUGCAGUCUUCUUAUAUAAAAUACUCUACUGCAUAGACUGAAAGUGAUCAUAAAGUGCUAUAAAAUUUGUUUCAAAAUACCUGAUCUUUAUUGCUGUUUUUGCUAUAGCUCGUCCAAAGCCCUGUUAGAAAGAGGAAAAAA